GGGGUUGUGGCUCAGUGGUAGAGCGCUUGCCUAGCAUGCAUGAGGCACUGGGCUAGAUCCCUGGAACCACA
rnacentral:tRNA from 1 species